UUAAGCGACUAAGCGUACACGGUGGAUGCCCUGGCAGUCAGAGGCGAUGAAGGACGUGCUAAUCUGCGAAAAGCGUCGGUAAGGUGAUAUGAACCGUUACAGCCGGCGAUGUCCGAAUGGGGAAACCCAGUGCAAUUCGUUGCACUAUCGUUAACUGAAUACAUAGGUUAACGAGGCGAACCGGGGGAACUGAAACAUCUAAGUACCCCGAGGAAAAGAAAUCAACCGAGAUUCCCCCAGUAGCGGCGAGCGAACGGGGAGCAGCCCAGAGUCUGAAUCAGCUUGUGUGUUAGUGGAACGGUCUGGAAAGUCCGACGGUACAGGGUGAUAGUCCCGUACACCAAAAUGCACAGGCUGUGAACUCGAAGAGUAGGGCGGGACACGUGGUAUCCUGUCUGAAUAUGGGGGGACCAUCCUCCAAGGCUAAAUACUCCUGACUGACCGAUAGUGAACCAGUACCGUGAGGGAAAGGCGAAAAGAACCCCGGCGAGGGGAGUGAAAAAGAACCUGAAACCGUGUACGUACAAGCAGUGGGAGCACCUUCGGGUGUGACUGCGUACCUUUUGUAUAAUGGGUCAGCGACUUAUAUUCUGUAGCAAGGUUAACCGUAUAGGGGAGCCGCAGGGAAACCGAGUCUUAACUGGGCGUUAAGUUGCAGGGUAUAGACCCGAAACCCGGUGAUCUAGCCAUGGGCAGGUUGAAGGUUGGGUAACACUAACUGGAGGACCGAACCGACUAAUGUUGAAAAAUUAGCGGAUGACUUGUGGCUGGGGGUGAAAGGCCAAUCAAACCGGGAGAUAGCUGGUUCUCCCCGAAAGCUAUUUAGGUAGCGCCUCGUGAACUCAUCUUCGGGGGUAGAGCACUGUUUCGGCUAGGGGGUCAUCCCGACUUACCAACCCGAUGCAAACUACGAAUACCGAAGAAUGUUAUCACGGGAGACACACGGCGGGUGCUAACGUCCGUCGUGAAGAGGGAAACAACCCAGACCGCCAGCUAAGGUCCCAAAGUCAUGGUUAAGUGGGAAACGAUGUGGGAAGGCACAGACAGCCAGGAUGUUGGCUUAGAAGCAGCCAUCAUUUAAAGAAAGCGUAAUAGCUCACUGGUCGAGUCGGCCUGCGCGGAAGAUGUAACGGGGCUAAACCAUGCACCGAAGCUGCGGCAGCGACACUAUGUGUUGUUGGGUAGGGGAGCGUUCUGUAAGCCUGCGAAGGUGACCUGUGAGGGUUGCUGGAGGUAUCAGAAGUGCGAAUGCUGACAUAAGUAACGAUAAAGCGGGUGAAAAGCCCGCUCGCCGGAAGACCAAGGGUUCCUGUCCAACGUUAAUCGGGGCAGGGUGAGUCGACCCCUAAGGCGAGGCCGAAAGGCGUAGUCGAUGGGAAACAGGUUAAUAUUCCUGUACUUGGUGUUACUGCGAAGGGGGGACGGAGAAGGCUAUGUUAGCCGGGCGACGGUUGUCCCGGUUUAAGCAUGUAGGCUGGUUAUCCAGGCAAAUCCGGAUAAUCAAGGCUGAGGUGUGAUGACGAGGCACUACGGUGCUGAAGUAACAAAUGCCCUGCUUCCAGGAAAAGCCUCUAAGCAUCAGGUAACAUCAAAUCGUACCCCAAACCGACACAGGUGGUCAGGUAGAGAAUACCAAGGCGCUUGAGAGAACUCGGGUGAAGGAACUAGGCAAAAUGGUGCCGUAACUUCGGGAGAAGGCACGCUGGUGUGUAGGUGAAGCCCCUGCGGGUGGAGCUGAGACCAGUCGAAGAUACCAGCUGGCUGCAACUGUUUAUUAAAAACACAGCACUGUGCAAACACGAAAGUGGACGUAUACGGUGUGACGCCUGCCCGGUGCCGGAAGGUUAAUUGAUGGGGUUAUCCGUAAGGAGAAGCUCUUGAUCGAAGCCCCGGUAAACGGCGGCCGUAACUAUAACGGUCCUAAGGUAGCGAAAUUCCUUGUCGGGUAAGUUCCGACCUGCACGAAUGGCGUAAUGAUGGCCAGGCUGUCUCCACCCGAGACUCAGUGAAAUUGAACUCGCUGUGAAGAUGCAGUGUACCCGCGGCAAGACGGAAAGACCCCGUGAACCUUUACUAUAGCUUGACACUGAACAUUGAGCCUUGAUGUGUAGGAUAGGUGGGAGGCUUUGAAGCGUGGACGCCAGUCUGCGUGGAGCCAACCUUGAAAUACCACCCUUUAAUGUUUGAUGUUCUAACGUUGGCCCCUUAUCGGGGUUGCGGACAGUGUCUGGUGGGUAGUUUGACUGGGGCGGUCUCCUCCCAAAGCGUAACGGAGGAGCACGAAGGUUAGCUAAUCCUGGUCGGACAUCAGGAGGUUAGUGCAAUGGCAUAAGCUAGCUUGACUGCGAGCGUGACGGCGCGAGCAGGUGCGAAAGCAGGUCAUAGUGAUCCGGUGGUUCUGAAUGGAAGGGCCAUCGCUCAACGGAUAAAAGGUACUCCGGGGAUAACAGGCUGAUACCGCCCAAGAGUUCAUAUCGACGGCGGUGUUUGGCACCUCGAUGUCGGCUCAUCACAUCCUGGGGCUGAAGUAGGUCCCAAGGGUAUGGCUGUUCGCCAUUUAAAGUGGUACGCGAGCUGGGUUUAGAACGUCGUGAGACAGUUCGGUCCCUAUCUGCCGUGGGCGCUGGAGAAUUGAGGGGGGCUGCUCCUAGUACGAGAGGACCGGAGUGGACGCAUCACUGGUGUUCGGGUUGUCAUGCCAAUGGCACUGCCCGGUAGCUAAAUGCGGAAGAGAUAAGUGCUGAAAGCAUCUAAGCACGAAACUUGCCCCGAGAUGAGUUCUCCCUGAGACUUUAAGUCUCCUGAAGGAACGUUGAAGACGACGACGUUGAUAGGCCGGGUGUGUAAGCGCAGCGAUGCGUUGAGCUAACCGGUACUAAUGAACCGUGAGGUUUAACCU
rnacentral:rRNA from 1 species